UACGAAGGGGGCUAGCGUUGUUCGGAAUUACUGGGCGUAAAGGGCGCGUAGGCUGCGCUGUAAGUCAGGCGUGAAAGCCCCGGGCUCAACCUGGGAAUUGCGCUUGAUACUGCGGCGCUGGAAGGUGGGAGAGGAUGGCGGAAUUCCCAGUGUAGAGGUGAAAUUCGUAGAUAUUGGGAAGAACACCGGUGGCGAAGGCGGCGCUCUGGACCGAGACUGACGCUGAGGCGCGAAAGCGUGGGGAGCAAACAGG
rnacentral:rRNA from 1 species